rnacentral:rRNA from 1 species
UACGUAGGGGGCUAGCGUUGUCCGGAUUUACUGGGUGUAAAGGGCGCGUAGGCGGAUUAGUAAGUCAGAGGUGAAAUCCUACGGCCUAACCGUAGAACUGCCUUUGAAACUAUUAAUCUUGAGUUCGGAAGAGAGAGACGGAAUUCCAGGUGUAGUGGUGAAAUACGUAGAUAUCUGGAAGAACACCAGUUGCGAAGGCGGUCUCUUGGUCCGAUACUGACGCUCAGGCGCGAAAGCGUGGGUAGCAAACAGG